rnacentral:rRNA from 1 species
UACAGAGGUUCUCAAGCGUUGUUCGGAUUCAUUGGGCGUAAAGGGUGCGUAGGUGGCGCCGUAAGUCGGGUGUGAAAUUUCGGAGCUUAACUCCGAAACUGCAUUCGAUACUGCGGUGCUUGAGGACUGGAGAGGAGACUGGAAUUUACGGUGUAGCAGUGAAAUGCGUAGAGAUCGUAAGGAAGACCAGUGGCGAAGGCGGGUCUCUGGACAGUUCCUGACACUGAGGCACGAAGGCCCAGGGGAGCAAACGGG